rnacentral:lncRNA from 1 species
GGCCACGCCCACCUGCGCUACGUCACACGCGUCAGGACGUCACUGUCGGGAACUGCUGGGGCAGUAAACAAGUAAACAACCCGCGGUGAGGCGCGCGCCAGUGCAGAGCUGAACUCGUUAAAUACACGGGUUAGGAGAAUAUAUUCUAAUAUACCUAGUCUGAUAUCCUUUCUGAUAAAAGAAAGGGCCUCUGACAUUGGAUUGAUCAGGUUGACAUGGAUACGAGCCAGUGAAAAUAAUGUAAGCUGAUCCUCCGUGUGAGAGAGGCCAGAUCACAUUUACGGUAAGAGAGCGAGACAGAGAGACUGUAUAAUAUGUGUGU